GAAGAAAGUAAUCGGAUAAAAGCAUACGUGCAGAAAUAUGUUUUUCCGUUUUAUGGUGAGACUAGAGACUAGAGAUGUUAACGGGCCGGAUUCGAGGCGGAUUUUCAAAAAUCUGAACUCGAAUCCGACUCCAUAGCCAAGACCCGAACCCAACGGUUUUAAAAAUUCAUAUCCAAAUUCAAAUCCGACCAAAAAUUCGAAACCUGAACCCGAAAAUUCGAACCCAAAAUAAUUAUUUGUUUUCGAUGAUGGAUUCUUGAAAUCGACGAUCAGUAAUAUUAAAUAUGAUCUAUAUCACUUGAAAUAUCUAAAAACCAAACUUCAAAUUUGUUCAGGUUAUAUUUGAAUUUGCAUUUUAAAAAAUUUAGAAUUUACGUAAUAUGUUUUUAAAUAUUGUAAAAGAAAAUAAUUAUUUUGGGUUCAAAUUUUUAGAUUCGAAUUAGUCGGUUUCGAAUUUGAAUAUAUAUAAAUUUUUAAAAUCCUUCGAAUUCGUGGUUAAGUUCGGAUUUCAAAUUUGGUAGGCCAAUAUUGGUUCG
rnacentral:lncRNA from 1 species